rnacentral:rRNA from 1 species
CCUACGGGGGGCAGCAGUGGGGAAUAUUGGACAAUGGGGGGAACCCUGAUCCAGCCAUGCCGCGUGUGUGAAGAAGGCCCUCGGGUUGUAAAGCACUUUCAGUGAGGAAGAACGCCUGGUGGUUAAUACCCAUCAGGAAAGACAUCACUCACAGAAGAAGCACCGGCUAACUCCGUGCCAGCAGCCGCGGUAAUACGGAGGGUGCGAGCGUUAAUCGGAAUUACUGGGCGUAAAGCGCGCGUAGGUGGCUUGAUAAGCCGGUUGUGAAAGCCCCGGGCUCAACCUGGGAACGGCAUCCGGAACUGUCAAGCUAGAGUGCAGGAGAGGAAGGUAGAAUUCCCGGUGUAGCGGUGAAAUGCGUAGAGAUCGGGAGGAAUACCAGUGGCGAAGGCGGCCUUCUGGACUGACCCUGACACUGAGGUGCGAAAGCGUGGGUAGCAAACAGGAUUAGAUACCCUGGUAGUC